CCAAUAAGACCCAGGCAUACAAGCACACCAGAAGAACGUAUUAAUAAUAAAAUUGAUGUGGAACCAUCGCCAGGAAGUGUUGUAGAGAUAAUGCUCUCAGAUUCAGAGGAUGACCGUCCAAGUAUUUCAGACCACGU